AUGGAAGCACUCCUGGAGGGCGCCGCUCCCCAGAGCUCCAAGUUGGGAGAAACCCCCAAACCCGAGGGCGGGUCCAAGGCCGGGCCAGAGAAGGCAGAAGCCUGUUUGAAGCAGGAGGCCCGCAAGGAAGACCCCACUGGGGACGGGGUGCCCAAGCAGGGUGAGCUCACCGCCGGAACCCCCGAGACCCGCUGCAGCCCCCCGACUCCCCAGGCCGACCACCGGCCCCGGAGGCGCGGCGCUCCAAGAAAGCACAGGACCUUGAAGAAGGCAGCCGCCAGCACGGAGCCGGAGCCGGAGGAGGUGGCGGAGCGAGGGGGCGGUGGCCCCAGCAAGCCGUGGAAGUGUGGGGACUGCGGCAAGGCCUUCCGCUACUGCUCGGCCUUCACGCUGCACCAGAGGACGCACACUGGGGAGAAGCCUUUCCCCUGCGCGGACUGUGGCCGCGCCUUCAGCCAGAGCGCGCACCUGGCGCAGCACCGGCGCGUGCACACGGGCGAGCGGCCCUACGCCUGCGCCGAGUGCGGCAAGGCCUUCAGCCAGGGCUCCUAUCUGGCGGCGCACGGGCGCGUGCACACGGGCGAGCGGCCCCACCGCUGCGCCGACUGCGGCAAGGCCUUCGCGCGCCCCACGCACCUGGCGCAGCACCGGCGCGUGCACACGGGCGAGCGGCCCUUCGCCUGCGGCCAGUGCGCCAAGGCCUUCCGCAGCCGCUCGUCGCUGCGGGAGCACCAGCGCAUCCACACGGGCGAGAAGCCCUUCGCCUGCGCGCGCUGCGACAAGGCCUUCCGCUUCUCCUCGGCGCUGCUCCGCCACCAGCGCACGCACACGGCCCAGCGGCCCUACACGUGCGGCCAGUGCGCCAAGGCCUUCACGCAGGCCGCGCACCUGGCGCAGCACCGCGGCGUGCACACGGGCGAGAAGCCCUUCGCCUGCGCCGAGUGCGGCGCGCGCUUCAGCCAGAGCGCCUCGCUCACCGAGCACCGGCGCAUCCACACGGGCGAGAAGCCCUUCGCCUGCGCGCAGUGCGGCAAGGCCUUCACGCAGGUGUCGCACCUGAGCCGCCACCGGCGCACGCACACCGGCGAGCGGCCCUACGCGUGCGGGGCCUGCGGCCGCGCCUUCAGCAACCGCUCGCACCUGGUGCAGCACCACCUGGCGCACACGGGCGCGCGGCCCUACAAGUGCCCGGAGUGCGGCGCCGCCUUCGGCCACGCGUCCUCCCUGCUCGAGCACCAGAAGGUGCACACGGGCGAGAAGCCCUUCCGCUGCGGCGACUGCGGCCGCGCCUUCAGCCACGGCUCGUCGCUGACGCUGCACCGGCGGACGCACACGGGCGAGCGGCCCUACGCCUGCCCCGAGUGCGGCAAGGCCUUCAGCAACCGCGCCUACCUGGUCCAGCACCACAUCGUGCACACCGGCGAGAAGCCCUACGAGUGCGGCGGCUGCGGCAAGGCCUUCAGCUUCUCCUCCGCGCUCAUCCGGCACCAGAAGACGCAUGCCGCGGGCAAGAAGGCGGGGGCACCGCUCGGCCCCGCGGCCGCCGCUGCCUCCACACCCGAGCUCCCGGCGGGAGGAGGACCCUGCUGA
rnacentral:lncRNA from 1 species